rnacentral:rRNA from 1 species
UGGGGAAUAUUGGACAAUGGGCGCAAGCCUGAUCCAGCCAUGCCGCGUGAGUGAUGAAGGCCCUAGGGUUGUAAAGCUCUUUCACCGGUGAAGAUAAUGACGGUAACCGGAGAAGAAGCCCCGGCUAACUUCGUGCCAGCAGCCGCGGUAAUACGAAGGGGGCUAGCGUUGUUCGGAUUUACUGGGCGUAAAGCGCACGUAGGCGGACUUUUAAGUCAGGGGUGAAAUCCCGGGGCUCAACCCCGGAACUGCCUUUGAUACUGGAAGUCUUGAGUAUGGUAGAGGUGAGUGGAAUUCCAAGUGUAAAGGUGAAAUUCGUGAAUAUUCGGAGAAACACCAGUGGCGAAGGCGGCUAACUGGACCAUUACUGACGCUGAGGUGCGAAAGCGUGGGGAGCAAACAGG